CUGCGUCGCGCCGGGAGCCGGCGCUCGAGCCCAGCGGGGGGUUUCAGUUUCUGGCGCGAACUUCCGCCGCUCCGAAGUUGCAAGGCGAACUGGCGCGAUGUCUGGGGACAGCAGCGGCCGCCGGCCCGAGGGCCGGGGUCGGGGUCGCGACCCUCACCGGGAUCGCACCCGCUCCCGCUCCCGCUCGCGGUCCCCGCUGGCCCGCCGCGGCGCCGCGCCGGAGCGCAGGGAGGCAGCGGAGCGCCCGAGCUUGGAGGACACCGAGCCGUCCGAUUCCGGGGACGAGCUGAUCGACCCGGCCUGCCUGGAGGCGGAGUACGACCAGGGCCUGUGCCGCCAGAUCCGCCAUCAGUACCGCGCUCUCAUCAACUCCGUCCAACAAAACCGGGAGGACAUACUGAACGCUGGUGACAAAUUAACAGAGGUCCUUGAAGAGGCAAACACUCUGUUCAAUGAAGUGUCACGAGCAAGAGAGGCAGUUCUAGAUGCCCAGUUUCUUGUUCUGGCUUCAGACUUGGGCAAAGAGAAAGCCAAACAGCUUCGCUCUGACCUAAACUCAUUUGAUAUGUUAAGAUACGUUGAAACUCUGCUUACACAUAUGGGUGUAAAUCCGCUAGAAGCUGAAGAAGUCAUCCGUGAUGAAGAUAGAACUGAUUUUGAAUUAAUUGUCUAUGACUCCUGGAAAAUAUCAGGCAAAACAGCAGAAAACACCUUUAAUAAAACCCAUACAUUCCACUUUCUGUUGGGUUCAAUACAUGGAGAAUUCCCUGUGCCAAAGCCGAGAACUGAUCGUCCAAGACAACCUCGCAUGAUCGAAGAGCAGCGGUCAAUGCCUGCCCAGUUGAAAUGCAUGGAAGAAUCUCAUCAAGAAGCAACUGAGAAAGAAGUAGAAAGAAUCUUGGGACUGCUGCAGACAUACUUUAGAGAAGACCCUGAUACUCCAAUGUCCUUUUUUGAUUUUGUGGUUGAUCCACAUUCUUUCCCCCGUACAGUGGAAAACAUCUUUCAUGUUUCCUUCAUUAUACGGGAUGGUUUUGCAAGAAUAAGACUUGACCAAGACCGACUACCAAUAAUAGAGCCAGUGAUUAAUGAAGAAAGCGAGGGAAUUGACCAAAACACUCAAAUUAGGAGUCAAGGAAUUAUAGCUUUGAGUUAUCAUGACUGGGAGGAGAUUGUGAAGACCUUUGAGAUUUCUGAGCCUGUGAUUUCUCUGAGUCAGAGCCAGCAGCGGCUAAGUGCCUGAUGCCAGCUGAAGGACUGAAGGCAAGAGUGAGAUCCUGAAAGGAAAGCAGCAUGUAUUGUAUAUUAAAAUGGUCAAAUAUUUUUUGAUGUAACUUGGCCUGUGCUGUACACUCAAGGAGCUGUUUCAUCUUCUGGCAAGUCAAGCUGGACCACGCCCCUAGCAGCAAUAAGUGGGUCCCUCCUGCUGCGUGUUCCUCUGCCCUUGGGCUUGGGCUUUCUAGUUAGUCCUUUAUAUUUUCUGGGAUCCAUCUCCCUAGCUUUCUAUAGAAAUUGUGGUACAUUUACACAAUGGAAUAAGCUAUUAAAAACGAGGAAAUCA